rnacentral:lncRNA from 1 species
AUAAAAUAUAAUUGCUUAAUGGACAUGUAGUUUAGAUAAUUUUUCCUCUGUGCUUUACCACACCUGCAUUGGUGGUAGAGGUCAGGUUAGCCAAACAGUGGUGUAGCACACAGGCAGGUUUUUUUUUUUUUUUUUAAGUGUGACCACAACUGGAGCUCAAUUUGACAUAUUUGACCUAAAACCAUUACAUAUAUUGUGUAUACUUUUGCCAACAAUAUUACUAAUUGCCUUUCUCCUCUUGAAGCUGUAGUGUGCUGCAGUGAUGGGUCUGACUUUGAGUCAGACACAGUACACCAGCCUACUUAAAGAGUAGCAGCUCAAGGUAAGGUUGUGUUGUCACAUUGCAUUACAUUUCCAUUUAUGUCCUGCUGUCACUGUUUUUGAUUAUGUGCUAUUACUGACAAGAGAAACCAGAAUGUUAUUAGUUGAUGUCUUUGUCAUUACAGGUUCUUCAGUAGCUCCAACAGCCAUUUCAUCAUUGAAGCGCAGCACACAAUGAAGCGUUGUCUGGAAGCUAAAGCUGGAGAAUGCAAAAGAAAAAAUUAAGUCCUUGGAGAAUGAAAGGGACUUCUUAAGGAACCAAUUGUCUGAGGCUUUGGCGCUUGCAAAUAAAGAGGCCCAAGUGACAGCAGCGCCCUCCUUGCACGAAAAGAGUAUUGAAAAAUCUUCUUCAUCUUCCUCCUCCACCUCCGCCUCCUCCUCAUCCUCCUCCGACAGUUCCUCCUCUUCCUCAUCGUCUUCUUCAGAAAGAGGGAAGAAGAAGAAGAGGAACAACAACAGCAAAAACAAAAAAGACAGCAAGAAAAAAAAAGGGAAGAAAGGAAACAAAAAGAACACCAAGAUAGGAAAGAGAGGUACGUUGGCAACCAGGGGAUAAGGCGGGGUACAUCUGUGGUGUACUACAGUUAUCACCUUUGAAAUGCCUAACCCAGUCUUUGUUCCAACUUCCAACAAAUAUUACUGACCACUAUAAAAAGGAAAAGCCUGCCUACAAAUGCUAUGUUAUGGAUCAAUCAGCUGGUUGAUCAGCUGGUCCCAAGUCUGCUUAUAAUAUCAAAGCCACGUCUGAACACGACUGUUCAAAUCAGCAUAAUGGAUGAAGCUACAGCAGGCACAUGGCUUUCAAAUAACACUAAACGAUAUAAUUGACUUAUUCUACCACUUAUCUAAACUAUACAGUGCUUCCACUUUACUCUCUAGUUGUGCUCAUUUGAUUUAUAAUAACCUACUGUUAAGAGUACAGAUAAUACUACUUGAAUAAACAGUACACUCACGGUACUCUUGAUACUACUGGAAAUGUAAUAAUUAUUAUUAUUCAUCUUCAUCUUCAUCGUCAUCCGCUUAUCCGGGGUCGGGUCGCGGGGGGAGCAGCUCAAGCAGGGGGCCCCAGACUUCCCUUUCCCGGGCCACAUUGACCAGCUCUGACGGGGGGAUCCCGAGGCGUUCCAGGCCAGUGUUGAGAUAUAAUCUCUCCACCUAGUCCUGGGUCUUCCCCGAGGUCUCUUCCCCACUGGACGUGCCUGAAACACCUCCCAAGGGAGGCGCCCAGUGGGCAUCCUUGCCAGAUGCCCGAACCACCUCAGCUGACUCCUUUCUAAGUAAAGGAGCAGCGGCUCUAAUCCGAGUUCCUCACGGAUGGCUGAGCUUCUCACCCUAUCCCUAAGGGAGACGCCAGCCACCCUUCUGAGAAAACUCAUCUCGGCUGCUUGUACCCGCAAUCUCGUCCUU